rnacentral:rRNA from 1 species
UACGAAGGGGGCUAGCGUUGUUCGGAUUUACUGGGCGUAAAGAGCGCGCAGGCGGUCGUUCAAGUCGAGUGUGAAAGCCCCCGGCUCAACUGGGGAGGGUCACUCGAUACUGAUCGACUGGAAGGCAGGAGAGGGAAGCGGAAUUCCCGGUGUAGUGGUGAAAUGCGUAGAUAUCGGGAGGAACACCAGUGGCGAAGGCGGCUUCCUGGCCUGUUCUGACGCUGAGGCGCGAAAGCUAGGGGAGCAAACGGG